rnacentral:lncRNA from 1 species
GUCUGUACCAAGUCAAGGAUAUGACAGUUAUUAUCCAUUCGUUUGAUGUGUUUAAGCCUUUUAUGUUGCCAUUUGAUAAGGGACUUACCUUUAUGAAUUUAACUCGGAGUUCAGUAUUUUUUGUGAUUUUACUUUAUAUUACGAUCAACACGUUAAAUAUUAUUAACAUUUGGGGAUACAUCAGUUUGAACAAGCAUAUAUACAUACCAUAUCAAACUGAAUUAUAAAAAAGAGGGUUUUAUAUGUCUUUAAAUAUUGCUUUAUUGAAUAUCGAUGAAAGAAUAGUUAUACAAAAAAAUAAGUAUGUAUUAAAAAUUACGAAAGUUUAGUUCAUUCUGCAAAGUAACAAACUGAAGAAAAAUUAAAACAACACAUUAUAAAUCUCAUACGUCCGAAGCAAUGUUCUGGAUUUAACUUCAUCAUUAUUGAGGGCCCUCAUGGGGUUUUUGAUUAUGUGAUUACUUGCCGUUUUUUUUAAUGAUUAUUUGAUUAUUUAAGCAAAUAUUUCAUGAUUAUUUGAUUACCUAGGACUGUAUUUUUAGUUUAUGAUUAUUUGAUUACUAAAGAUAAGCAAAUAUUUAAUGAUUAUGUGAUUAUAUUGGCAAAAAAAUGGUGAUUAUGUGAUUACUAGGACCCCCCCCCAUGAGGGGCCUCAUUAUUAAUGAGGAACACUCUAAGCUGAAUAUUUUAAAGCCAAGGAUGAAUAAGAACCUACAUAGUUGAUAAAAUACGAAUAUA